rfam:Sordaria macrospora k-hell, WGS project CABT02000000 data, contig: 2.7
GGGCGUAUAGUUCAGUGGUAGAACGUCUGUUUUGCAAUACCUUGCUUGCCCUCGGUACCCGCUUAUACAGAAGGUCCCGUGUUCAAACCACGGUUCGUCCA